GUGCUUGCUUUGGCAGCACAUACACUAAAAUUGGAAUAACACAGAGAAGAUUGGCAUGGUCCCUGUGCAAGGAUAACA
rnacentral:snRNA from 1 species